UACGUAGGGUGCAAGCGUUGUUCGGAAUUACUGGGCGUAAAGCGCGCGCAGGCGGGCUUAUAAGUCGAUUGUGAAAUCCCAGGGCUCAACCUUGGAAUUGCAGUCGAAACUGUAAGUCUUGAGUGCCUAAGAGGAUGGCGGAAUUCCCGGUGUAGUAGUGAAAUACGUAGAUAUCGGGAAGAACACCUGAGGCGAAGGCGGCUAUCUGGUGGUGCACUGGACGCUGAGGCGCGAAAGCGUGGGGAGCAAACAGG
rnacentral:rRNA from 1 species